rnacentral:rRNA from 1 species
AGAGUUUGAUCAUGGCUCAGGAUGAACGCUGGCGGUCUGCUUAACACAUGCAAGUCGAACGGAAUCUUCGGAUUUAGUGGCGGACGGGUGAGUAACGCGUGAGAAUCUGCCCUUAGGUUGGGGACAACAGUUGGAAACGACUGCUAAUACCCAAUGUGCCGAGAGGUGAAAGGUUAACUGCCUGAGGAUGAGCUCGCGUCUGAUUAGCUAGUUGGAGUGGUAACGGCACACCAAGGCGACGAUCAGUAGCUGGUCUGAGAGGAUGAUCAGCCACACUGGGACUGAGACACGGCCCAGACUCCUACGGGAGGCAGCAGUGGGGAAUUUUCCGCAAUGGGCGAAAGCCUGACGGAGCAAGACCGCGUGAGGGAGGAAGGCCUAUUGGUUGUAAACCUCUUUUGAUAGGGAAGAACACAAUGACGGUACCUAUCGAAUCAGCAUCGGCUAACUCCGUGCCAGCAGCCGCGGUAAUAC